rnacentral:rRNA from 1 species
UACAUAGGGUGCAAGCGUUAAUCGGAAUCACUGGGCGUAAAGCGUGCGUAGACGGUUAUGUAAGUCGGGUGUGAAAGCCCCGGGCUCAACCUGGGAAUGCCAUUCGAGACUGCAUAGCUAGGGUGCGGAAGAGGGAAGCGGAAUUUCCGGUGUAGCGGUGAAAUGCGUAGAUAUCGGAAGGAACACCAGUGGCGAAAGCGGCUUCCUGGUCCAGCACCGACGUUCAGGCACGAAAGCGUGGGGAGCAAACAGG